UGUGUGUGUUAAUAUAUUCAGCUAGUUUCUAUUUUCUUUGUUUAAAUAAAUAAUAAUAACGUGUGAGUGGAUAAAAAAACAAUGGCUGCUGGAGCAGAUGAUUUUCCAGAAAAGCAAUUUGGCAACUUCAUCAUGGCCGAAAAUCUCUUAAUUGAAAGUGUAGAAAUCUGACACAUGAUAUGUUAUUUGGGCGCCUAUUUUUAUAAUCGCUUCUCUCCUCGUGCGCUGGAAUCAAGAAAAACAACUUGAAAUAUGCCCUGAAACCCUUUUUUUUUCUUUCUUCCCUUUUAUAAUACUUGAUGAUGAUGUAAAACUUAUUGCGAGCAACCGCGUGGUCUCUGGUCUAUAAUUUAUCUCGUUUUCGAUCACGUGAGAAUCUCAUCAUCAUCAUCAUCGAGAGCUGCAAGCAUCACAGAUCACAGCAGCAUCAGCUUCACGAAUUCGAGAGAGGGUUGGGCCCACGUCUGCCCAUUCAUCAUGCCAUGCCACGAAGGAAAGCAUCACUGAGCUGCAGAGUCUCCACACAGCAGGGGGAAAAGACAAAAGCGUUGAGCCUGAUUUAUCCCUGUGGAUACACUUGCACCGUGUAAUUACUGCACAGUCAGUGCUGCUGCUGCUGCUGAAGCGAGCCAACCCCCCCAUACCUCAAGGCUCUGCGAUGGCAUGGGAGGUGGCUGAAUUGUCUCCACACACACUCCGUUAUGAAGAGACACCCCCCUAGCUGUCAAAAGAAACACUCCCUCUUGGCAUUCAGCUCGCAACAACAACAACAACAACAAUUGACCUUCCUUCCUUGUACUCUUUUUUGUACAGUCCAUCCUCCCUUUCAGAAAAAAAGUAGCAGCUCAGCAGCAGCAGCCAGUCAUGUGUGUGUGUGUUUUAUCGUGUGUAGGUUUUCCACACACACAAUGAUUUAACACUUGGCGAAAAACAAAGAAAUAAAGGAAUGAACAUUUUCUCUCACCUGAUCGAUCCCUAACCUCCAGGUAGCCGUGCUUGGGUCCGUCGACGAUGACGACGACCAGGUUGUCGGGUUUUGUAUCGCUGUCGUUGACGCUCAGGAUGUCCGGCGACAGGAUUUCGGUGGCCCCUUCUUCGACCGUCACUUCUCCGUGGACGACGACCUCCGGCAGCUGAUUGUCGCGGGGCUCGAUGGCGAUCAUGAGGGCCUCGGGUCGAAGUGGAACCCUGGGCAGCGGAGCCAGUCCGUUGGCUCCGUUUUCGUCUCUGGCCCGUUUGAUGGUGUCCUCGGUCCGUCUGAGAACUUUGCCGCUGGAAUCCAACACCCGGCCGUUCAACAGGACGUUGCGACCUCUGCCAUUUUUCUCUUCGCUGUCGUCGCUCUUGGCUGCCGAAACGUUCCAGUAUAAUCGAUCCUCGGCCGGCAACCAGCCCACUUCCUUAUCUGCUCUGAAGCUCGAGUGAUGACGUCGCCGAUCUGCAGGACUUUGCCGGAUAACAGGACGGACCCCAUGGUAGUUGGACGGGCUAGAAUGUACUCGACUGUUUCCUUGUCGACGGCCGUAUCGAGGACGACAAAAAAAAUCUAAUCAAAAAUAAACCUUCGACGACCGAUGGUAUCGACAUGAGUGGACCGUCUUGCUGGACCUCCUGCUGACUACACUUUGGCCGGCCUUUAACUACACACACACACAACAACAAAAAAAUUCCCUGGAUUCCCGACAUUUUCGACAUCGUGCAAACUGGAUGUCUUCCAAAAUUGUUACGGGACUCGAGGGGGGAUGUUCCGCCUUUGCCACAUAAAACCCGCGUCAUCGUUUCAAGGUUUUUUGUUCCAGGAGCGAGUUGGCUUUUGGAACGACGUUGGCUUCCGUGAUUUUGUUCUACUGCCCGGCUAUUAAGUCUGGCGGUGACGUCACAGCCGGAAGUCGGGAGGAAUGAAAGAUAAAAAGAAAAAGGUGCUGAGAGACCAGGAAGUUGGACGGAAGGAAAAUGUGGGCACGAAAUGAAAUCAACAAGUUAACGAGCCGACAAAGCGACGUGACGCAUCCUUGUCCUUGUGCCGAGUUGAAUAUUAAACCAGAAAAAACCCUUUUGAUGGUGGUGCUGGGGCCCCUUAAUGGCACACACUACUAGUCUAGUAGUCAUCUGGUGUAGUUGUGUAGUAAGUAGUAGUAGUAUAUUUCCAGCAUCCUUAAUUUUUUAAUGACCAACAGUUUCAACUGUAGCCGGCCCAGCCUAUAUACGACGUGUUACACAGUUCCACUGCUUCUGCUGGCCUGGCCUGGCCCGAAUGAAAACGGUUUUUUUUUUUUUUUUUGGCUCUGGACGUCGUGACCUUCUUGGCAAAUCCCGCCGGUUGUUGUUGUUGUUGGGCCUUAUAGCACACACACACAGAAAAAAAAGAGGCGAAACUUUUCAUUGACCCAUUCAUCACCACGACCGAAAAGGGGCUGGGCGAAUAUAUAUUAAGAGAGAAACACUAGAUGUGUGCGCUGUUGUUCUUUUUUUCCUUCUUCUUCUUCUUUCACUCGCCGGGAAAAAAAAGUUACACAACAUUUCACGGGAAAUUGGUUUUUCGUGUUUUUCGGUUUUUUCUGGGGGGAAGUGUCGGUUCGGUGGAAGGGUUGGUGGUGGUGGUGUUAAUGUCGGGAGUCUUACUCUUUCUUUCUCUUGGUUCUUCCAUUAGCGGUCAAAUGUCUCUAGUCAGAAAAAUAUUCAAAUGUACAUAAUCCCCGGGCUGUUAUUUUUCCAAGAGGAGGAGGAGGAUCUAACAGCUUCAUCUGUCGCCGCCUGUUAUUCUCUUUCGGGAAUCUUGUCGCCUCGUCUCUCUCUCUCUCUCUUUCCUUACUGGCUAAAAUUAGACAUUUUUUAGGUGGGGAGGAGGGGGGGGGAAAUCAAAUGAGCAACUCACGAGACACACCGCUGCUUAUAUAGUUUAGCUAGAGCGGGAAUUUCAAAAAGAAAGAAAAAAACCUUUUUGUUUUAUUUUUUACUUUCGGGAUUCCAAUUCCGCAGCCGCACGUCCGUUUCGAUACAUCAAAUUGGUGAAUGGGGAGGUGAGGGGGGAGAUGUUGUAUAGCUAAAGAAAGCUCUCUAUCUCUAUUUCUCUCCUUUUUGGCCAACCUCCCACCUCCCCCUAAAAAUAAGUGGAGGUGCGGCCGAACCCGCCGCUUAUUUUUUUCUUUCUUUCUACCAACCGAAAAGGAAAAUACUUACACGACGUUCACGGCCUCCUCACUUUCUUAUAUGUCUGCCCGUUGUGCAUUACGUGACUGAUUUUUUUUAAAAUUUUUUAAAAUUUUCAAAUAACCCCUACGAUUUUGAUUUGAACAAUUAGCGAUUGAGAUAAAUGGUGAUUGAUUUUUACCUGCUGUGCAAUGUGCGACGAUAAUCAACAGGAAGGAGAAGACGACAACGAAACGAGACACGACCACUGUACAACGCAUUUUGCGCUAAUUAUUUCGUUUGUCUUUUUGUGAUGAAUUUGAUUCAAUUGUUUUUUUGCGGGAAAUUUGAAAUGGGCGAAAAAUGAGACACUGGUCACACUCAUCCGCCACUUUUCUUUCUUUCUUUUUUGGGUUUUACAGAAUCACCUCUGCUGUAGUAGUAGUAGUAGUAGUAGCGGCAGAAGAAGACGAAUUGGAUGUUGAUGAUGAUGAAGGAGAAGUCGUGGAGUCAAGGUAACGAGCGGCCAUUCUGACCGACAACAAACAACAGACUGACUGGGCCCCAAAAGAAGAAGAAGAAGAAGAACCCGCGCGGUGUAUAGUUUAGCAGCAGCGACGCUCUGGUGCGCCGUCGUGAAGGAACUUUGGCCGAUUUAAAACUGCCGCUGUGGGCCGGGCCCCCACCACCACCACGGCCGCCGUCAGCAAUCAAAUUUUGUCUUAACGCUCAGCGCACGAUCGUCGGCUUGUACAACAAGGAAAAGAAAUGAAGCCAACACGGAUGAAGAAGGAAAGAAGAAAACGAGAUGACAAACGGUUAAAACACUCGAAUCGUACCGGGGUCGUGGGAAUAGAACAAAAGAAAAGACGGCCGGCCGUGCUGGGUGGGCAAGACCAUCCCUAGUUUUUCGUCUUUCUUCAAUGGAGAGAGAGAGAGGCUCAAACGGCCUCUAAAAAUACGACGGUAGCUUCUCCCUUUCUUUUGGCCAUCCAGGUGGAUAUUUUUUUCAAUGCCGAUUUUUAAAUUUUUACUUUUUUUUUUUUUUUUUACUUUUGCAAAGUUGGAUGACAUCUCCGAGUGUUUGGACAAUGGAUCGACCAGUUGGGGGUGUCGAAUAAUAAACCGGUCCAUCCCCACCUGGAAAAAAAGAACCUGGGCCUGGGAUGGAUGGAUGGAGACCUUGUCCCAAGUUGAAAUGGUCCACGGCUCAUUUUUUGACGUUGAUGAUCAAUUCCCAAAACGUGAUGAUGGGCUCCCGCGGGAGAGGUGCGGCCGUGACCCGGGCGUUCCAAGGCGAUGCGGCGGAAACCUGUCGGACAGUAGGAGCGGGAUAGGCCACCACUUCACCACCGGGUCCAUCUUCCCCAAAGGAGAAGGAAGGAUCGGAUAUCCAUCAAAUGUCCACGGCUGUGGCCCAUCUCCAUUCUUGACCCGUUUUUCUGGUAGCGCGCCAAUCGGUGCGCACACACACAGACAUUUUCGCGUGAAUAAUUGGUCUCUGGUAUGUAUCCUUAACUGCGCAGCCUGACGGGGGCUGUAUACGGGAUACCUGCCGUGUGCCAGCCAGUCAGAGCCACAGCCAGGGCCAUAUGGUAGCGGAAUUCAAAGUUCGCGGGCGUUGUCUGCAUUUGAUGAUGAUGACGUGAUUUUUUGGUUUUUAUUUUACUUUUAACUUUUUCAGGGUUCCAGUCGAAUUCCAGCCGCUUCUUUUUCUUUUCGUUUUGGGAAUCGUCGACACGCUCCGACACGUGGACAAAUUGACGACCGAGACUCGUCGCAUUUGGCAUUUUGUUUAGGAAAAUUCGCCCCCCGUGAUUGACUCUAAUCCGCCGAGACCGGAACCAAAAACCAAAGAGAAUGUCUCCUUUGUAAAUGUUGAUGACGCGAGCGAUGAUUAGUGACGUCAGCGUCGGUGUGUUAGGUGCCGUUUCCCCCCACCAAAAGAUGAAAGGUUCUCCGUGAGAGCUCUCGCCCUUGGAUGAUUCAUUUCCGACGAUAAAACAAGCCCUAAUCCAAAUUUAUCGACACUGUGCUGUGCGCACACACGUGGCUGUUUUUUUUUUAUUUUGGCCAGUUCAUGGGAAAGGACCGGGUCGUAAAAAAUGAUCGUCGCCCCGAAUAAGGCCAUCGAAAUACGACGU